GCGCCUGUAGCUCAACCGGAUAGAGCGUGGGCCUCCGGAGCCCAAGGCUGCGGGUUCAAAUCCCGCCAGGCGCG
rnacentral:tRNA from 1 species